UCCCUGGUGGUCUAGUGGUUAAGACUCUGUACUCCCAAUGCAGAGAGCCUGAAUUUAAUCCCUGGUCAGGGGA
rnacentral:tRNA from 1 species